GUCCUGGCUGUAAACGAUGGGCACUAGGUGUGGGGGGAUCGACCCCUUCCGUGCCGCAGUUAACGCAUUAAGUGCCCCGCCUGGGGAGUACGACCGCAAGGUUGAAACUCAAAGGAAUUGACGGGGGCCCGCACAAGCGGUGGAGCAUGUGGUUUAAUUCGAUGAUACGCGAAGAACCUUACCGGGGCUUGACAUGCAGCUGAAAGUUCGUGGAAACACGGGCUGUCCCUCACGGGACAGUUGCACAGGUGCUGCAUGGCUGUCGU
rnacentral:rRNA from 1 species